AACGGCCGUACCAUGCUGAAUAUACCGGUUCUCGUUAGAUCACCGAAGUCAAGCAUCAUUGGGCGCGGUCAGUACUUGGGCGGGUGACCACCUGGGAACACCGCGUGCCGUU
rnacentral:rRNA from 1 species